CUUCUGCCUGCCUUAUCAAGAGACCUCAAUAUAUUUCACAUUUGUCUGAUUACUAUAUGUUGGGGUUUUUUUUUUCCUGCCAUCUAGCACCCAAAUACAUCAAGAUGUUCGUCCUGGAUGAAGCAGAUGAAAUGCUAAGCCGUGGGUUCAAGGAUCAGAUCUAUGAUAUAUUCCAAAAGCUCAACAGCAACACACAGGUAGUUUUGCUGUCUGCCACAAUGCCUUCUGAUGUCCUUGAGGUGACUAAGAAGUUCAUGAGAGACCCUAUUCGGAUUCUUGUCAAGAAGGAAGAGUUGACCCUGGAGGGUAUCCGCCAAUUCUACAUCAAUGUGGAACGAGAGGUGGGGCCCAGUGCAGGAGGCGGGCCUGGUAAUAAGUGUUGGGUAUAGCUCCUGAUUGAUGUUUCCUGAUCUCCAGGAGUGGAAGCUCGACACAUUGUGUGACUUGUAUGAAACACUGACCAUCACCCAGGCAGUAAUCUUUAUUAAUACCAGAAGGAAGGUGGACUGGCUCACUGAGAAGAUGCAUGCCCGGGAUUUCACAGUUUCUGCCAUGCAUGGAGAUAUGGACCAAAAGGAACGAGACGUGAUCAUGAGGGAGUUCCGGUCUGGCUCUAGCAGAGUAUUAAUUACCACUGACCUGUUGGUGAGUAGAUGCUCUUUUAAGGAAAGAAAGGGAGAAAAUAGCCCAAGGUGAUUCCCUCUCCAAAGGGCUGACUAUGUGCCCUUUUUAGGAACGUAGCAACUUGGAAGAAAGCCAGGCAUGUCCAAGGUCUCUGGGGAACAAGGAAUACUUGUUUCCUUUGCCCUCCUUUGGCAGCCUACAUAUAUGCUUACUAAAUUAGGGUUGAUAGUGUCCU
rnacentral:lncRNA from 1 species